rnacentral:rRNA from 1 species
GCUUUGACUGUAGCCUGGAAUUGGGUUCGGCUUCGCUUGCGCAGUCGAUAGGUGGGAGGCUAUGAAGUACCCUUCGUGGGGGGUAUGGAGCCAACGGUGAGAUACCACUCUGGCGAGGCUAGGAUUCUAACCGUUACCCGUAAUCCGGGAAAGCUGACAGUUUCAGGUGGCAGUUUGACUGGGCGGUCGCCUCCUAAAAGGUAACGGAGGCGCGCAAAGGUUCUCUCAGGCUGGUUGGAAAUCAGCCAUUAGAGUGUAAAGGCAUAAGGGAGCUUGACUGCAAGAGUGACAACUCAAGCAGGGACGAAAGUCGGCCUUAGUGAUCCGACGGCACUGCAUGGAAGCGGCCGUCGCUCAAACGGAUAAAAGUUA